rnacentral:rRNA from 1 species
UUUGAUCAUGGCUCAGAUUGAACGCUGGCGGCAUGCCUUACACAUGCAGGUCGAACGGCAGCAUGAUCUAGCUUGCUAGAUUGAUGGCGAGUGGCGAACGGGUGAGUAAUACAUCGGAACGUGCCCUGUAGUGGGGGAUAACUAGUCGAAAGAUUAGCUAAUACCGCAUACGACCUGAGGGUGAAAGUGGGGGACCGCAAGGCCUCAUGCUAUAGGAGCGGCCGAUGUCUGAUUAGCUAGUUGGUGAGGUAAAGGCUCACCAAGGCGACGAUCAGUAGCUGGUCUGAGAGGACGAUCAGCCACACUGGGACUGAGACACGGCCCAGACUCCUACGGGAGGCAGCAGUGGGGAAUUUUGGACAAUGGGGGCAACCCUGAUCCAGCAAUGCCGCGUGUGUGAAGAAGGCCUUCGGGUUGUAAAGCACUUUUGUCCGGAAAGAAAUCGCACUUACUAAUAUUAGGUGUGGAUGACGGUACCGGAAGAAUAAGGACCGGCUAACUACGUGCCAGCAGCCGCGGUAAUACGUAGGGUCCAAGCGUUAAUCGGAAUUACUGGGCGUAAAGCGUGCGCAGGCGGUUGUGCAAGACCGAUGUGAAAUCGCCGGGCUUAACCUGGGAAUUGCAUUGGUGACUGCACGGCUAGAGUGUGUCAGAGGGGGGUAGAAUUCCACGUGUAGCAGUGAAAUGCGUAGAGAUGUGGAGGAAUACCGAUGGCGAANGCAGCCCCNUAGGAUAACACUGACGCUCAUGCACGAAAGCGUGGGGAGCAAACAGGAUUAGAUACCCUGGUAGUCCACGCCCUAAACGAUGUCAACUAGUCGUUGGGGAUUCAUUUCCUUAGUAACGUAGCUAACGCGUGAAGUUGACCGCCUGGGGAGUACGGUCGCAAGAUUAAAACUCAAAGGAAUUGACGGGGACCCGCACAAGCGGUGGAUGAUGUGGAUUAAUUCGAUGCAACGCGAAAAACCUUACCUACCCUUGACAUGCCACUAACGAAGCAGAGAUGCAUUAGGUGCUCGAAAGAGAAAGUGGACACAGGUGCUGCAUGGCUGUCGUCAGCUCGUGUCGUGAGAUGUUGGGUUAAGUCCCGCAACGAGCGCAACCCUUGUCUCUAGUUGCUACGAAAGGGCACUCUAGAGAGACUGCCGGUGACAAACCGGAGGAAGGUGGGGAUGACGUCAAGUCCUCAUGGCCCUUAUGGGUAGGGCUUCACACGUCAUACAAUGGUGCAUACAGAGGGUUGCCAAGCCGCGAGGUGGAGCUAAUCCCAGAAAAUGCAUCGUAGUCCGGAUCGUAGUCUGCAACUCGACUACGUGAAGCUGGAAUCGCUAGUAAUCGCGGAUCAGUAUGCCGCGGUGAAUACGUUCCCGGGUCUUGUACACACCGCCCGUCACACCAUGGGAGUGGGUUUUGCCAGAAGUAGUUAGCCUAACCGCAAGGG